rnacentral:rRNA from 1 species
AGAGUUUGAUCAUGGCUCAGAACGAACGCUGGCGGCGUGCCUAACACAUGCAAGUCGAGCGAGAAAGUCUCCGCAAGGAGGCGAGUAAAGCGGCGCACGGGUGAGUAACACGUGAGUAAUCUGCCUGAAAGACCGGAACAACCCUCCGAAAGGAAGGCUAAUACUGGAUAAGACCACGGUGGCGAAAGUCGCUGAGGUAAAAAGGUGGCCUCUGUAAACAAGCUAUCACUUUUAGAAGAGCUCGCGGCCCAUCAGCUAGUUGGCGGGGUAAAGGCCCACCAAGGCAACGACGGGUAGCUGGUCUGAGAGGACGAUCAGCCACACUGGAACUGAGACACGGUCCAGACUCCUACGGGAGGCAGCAGUGGGGAAUUUUGCGCAAUGGGCGAAAGCCUGACGCAGCAACGCCGCGUGAGUGAUGAAGGUUUUCGGAUCGUAAAGCUCUUUCGGCCGGGACGAAAACGAGAUGGCUAAUAUCCAUCUUCUUGACGGUACCGGAAGAAGAAGCACCGGCUAACUCUGUGCCAGCAGCCGCGGUAAUACAGAGGGUGCGAGCGUUGUUCGGAAUUAUUGGGCGUAAAGCGCGUGUAGGCGGUAGUGCAUGUCGGGUGUGAAAGCCCUCGGCUUAACCGAGGAAGUGCGUCCGAAACUGCAAUACUAGAGUGCUGGAGAGGGUAGCGGAAUUCCGGGUGUAGAGGUGAAAUUCGUAGAUAUCCGGAGGAACACCAGUGGCGAAGGCGGCUACCUGGACGGACACUGACGCUGAGACGCGAAAGCGUGGGUAGCAAACAGGAUUAGAUACCCUAGUAGUCC